CUCCCUCUUCCUUCCUCUCUGAAAUCAAUGAAUACAUAUUUUUAAAAAAUCUUAUUACUUUCUAAUUACUUUACUACAUUUACUAUUAUGUAUGCUCUAGAGGUCAUUUGUGUCUCCUGUAUCCAGGGCUGGCUUCAUAGGCAUGGUAAGUUCAGAGGCAAUGAGUGAGAAGAUCUAUGGGGAGAUGAAGACAAUGUUUAUCACUCUGUGUAGUGAUAAACUUUUUGACAUUGUGUGCACAAGGGCACUGAAACUCUUACACCCCCACCCACCCCGGUUAAACUCAUGAUGGUAAAUUCAGAAGCAAUGAGUGAGAAGAUCUAUGGGGAGAUUACAUUGGGCUCUGCAGCGGGCUUGAAAGGAGAAGAGCCCCUGAGAAGGCAAAAGAUGGGUAGCUGGAGACCAAAGUAGCCAGGCCCAGUCCCCAGAGCCCUUUGGGAAAGUGGCUUGGGUCAGGCAGGAUCCCUGGGGGUACAUUGUCAGAUGCUCAGCCUCUUUCUUCAAGGCUGUUUCCUGGAAAAUACAUGGGUUAGUUGAGUGGGUGAGGACCAUGAAAGGGAAAUUUGCAGGAAGGAAAAACAGGGCCAGCACUAUCACAGACCUCAACAUGACUGGCACUUUCUAGGACUGUGAGGUGCAUAAUGUAUGCCACUGAACACAGAAACUCUAACAGACUUCAACGUGCAGAAGAGAAUGUGGGGGCUCCCGCCUGAGUUAGAGCAGCACUAAUCUACAAGAAAUGGACAAGACAGUUCACAUCUCUGCAUCUCAGUUUUCUCAUUUGUAAAAUGGGAGUAAUUAGCCAUUCUACAUGAGGCAAUAUAUAAAUUCUCUCACAGAACACCUGAUAUAUAGGAUUUACUCAAUACAUUUCUGUUCCCUUCCAUUUCCUAUGUCAAGACAUAGAAUGCAGAAAUAAGCAGCAAAUCUGGGCAUUAGCUUAGGACUGUCUGGGAAAAACAAAUAAAAAUCUGCAAUGCUGUUUGCCAAACUACCUGCCUUCAUUGAGCAAGACUUUGGGCUGGUUCCUUAGGCGCUUGGCUGACUCUGGCCAGUGUAUACAUUAGCUAAAUGCUUGCUGUGCUCUCUCCCCUCCUUUCCUGUCUUCCUUCUUCUUCAUUUCCUUUAUGCACUCAAUUCAUGCAACGUGCCCUUUAUCAAGUACACACUAUUUCCAAGGCCCUGUGGUGAGGCCCUUGGUGACCUGGAGAUGUACCUCUGCACAUGGGAAACUCACAGCCAGAGUAGAGUCAGGAGUCUUGGGUGUGAACCCCAGUUUCAUUGCUAACUUGCCAUGUGAUCAAGCUUCCUUUCCUCAUCUAUAAAGUGGGAAUUAUGACAGUGUCUAUCUUGUAGAGUUUUCUGAGGAUUAAAUGAAAAAAUUUGUAGAGCAGGAUUAGUGCAAUACGCAACCACAUUAAAUGCUCAAUGAUGGCCAAUUAUAAUAUUAUUAAUAUUUUUGUCAUAGAUGCAAGCAAUUAUAAGAUAAAGCAGACCAUGGGUAAGGGACUAACAGUGCUAGAGAGGCCCAGAGGAGGCAGAGUUUAGUCAGUGGGGGACAGUGAAAACAGUGACACUGUCACCAGUGGCAUCUCCUGGUUUCUCUACUACAUGGCCCUAAACCCAACACCAGCAUCACUGUAGGGAGGAGGUUUGUGAGAUCCUCGGGGACAGGGACUCCUUCCAGUGGGAUGAUCUGGGCAAGAUGACCUACUUGACCACGUGCACCAAGGAGAACCCCCACUUUUACCCGCCUGUGCCCCAGGUGUACUGCCAGCUGAGCAAGCCUGUCAGCUUUGUGGAUAUCCACUCGUUACCUGCAUGUGUGAUGGCAUGGAUUUGGGGCUCAAAUGAGAGUUCCUGAGGAUGCUUCUCUGACACUCGCUAUGCCUUUGGCUCACUCUUUACACCAAUAGUGGAGAACUCAUGCUUUGUGUUUGGCCUGGGUCCAAUCCUGGCUCUAUAACAGGAGUAAAUUUCUCCACCUCUAAGGCUCUUUUUCCCCUUCUGUGAAAUGGCUGUGAGGAGAGUACCUUCCUUACAGGAUUGUUAUCUGGAUUAAAUCAUCAGGGCUGUCAUGGGCCACUAUGCAGGUAGUGCCCUGAACAACUUCAGGAGGCACCAUUCACAUAGACUGUGAUGCUAUGCAGGGCUGACCUGUACAACCAUAUUUGGGGGCUUUGUAGAGUGUUCAACUCUGUAUCUGGCCCAUGGUAUGCAUCCAAUGACUGGUAGCAGUGCGUACUUUAGCAUAAUGUUAUGAAUAACUUGCCUUGAGAGUCAGUGAUUCAAAAGCGAAAGAAUGUGAAAGUCUUUGUCUGUCCUGCUUGUGCUGGGGUGGGUUCAGUCCUUUUUAAUUCCAUUCUACGAGUAUCUGUGUCAUGUGCUGUGCCCAGUGCUGGCGGUACAGGAAGUAGUUGUGAUGAUGACCAAAAGCACUUUGCUGGGUGUCUUUGUUUAACUAUAUGGAUGUGUUUUUGGAAAAUUGCAUAAGGAGAAUUUGCCUAAA